AGUGAACGCUGGCGGUAGGCCUAACACAUGCAAGUCGAACGGCAGCACAGUAAGAGCUUGCUCUUACGGGUGGCGAGUGGCGGACGGGUGAGGAAUACAUCGGAAUCUACUUUUUCGUGGGGGAUAACGUAGGGAAACUUACGCUAAUACCGCAUACGACCUACGGGUGAAAGCAGGGGAUCUUCGGACCUUGCGCGAUUGAAUGAGCCGAUGUCGGAUUAGCUAGUUGGCGGGGUAAAGGCCCACAAAGGCGACGAUCCGUAGCUGGUCUGAGUGGAUGAUCAGCCACACUGGAACUAGGCCACGGUCCAGACUCCUACGGGAGGCAGCAGUGGGGAAUAUUGGACAAUGGGCGCAAGCCUGAUCCAGCCAUACCGCGUGGGUGAAGAAGGCCUUCGGGUUGUAAAGCCCUUUUGUUGGGAAAGAAAAGCAGCAGGUUAAUACCCCGCUGUUCCGACGGUACCCAAAGAAUAAGCACCGGCUAACUUCGUG
rnacentral:rRNA from 1 species